rnacentral:rRNA from 1 species
GAGCCUUGAUGUGUAGGAUAGGUGGGAGGCUUUGAAGCGUGGACGCCAGUCUGCGUGGAGCCGACCUUGAAAUACCACCCUUUAAUGUUUGAUGUUCUAACGUGGACCCGUAAUCCGGGUUGCGGACAGUGUCUGGUGGGUAGUUUGACUGGGGCGGUCUCCUCCUAAAGAGUAACGGAGGAGCACGAAGGUUGGCUAAUCCUGGUCGGACAUCAGGAGGUUAGUGCAAUGGCAUAAGCCAGCUUGACUGCGAGCGUGACGGCGCGAGCAGGUGCGAAAGCAGGUCAUAGUGAUCCGGUGGUUCUGAAUGGAAGGGCCAUCGCUCAACGGAUAAAAGGUACUCCGGGGAUAACAGGCUGAUACCGCCCAAGAGUUCAUAUCGACGGCGGUGUUUGGCACCUCGAUGUCGGCUCAUCACAUCCUGGGGCUGAAGUAGGUCCCAAGGGUAUGGCUGUUCGCCAUUUAAAGUGGUACGCGAGCUGGGUUUAGAACGUCGUGAGACAGUUCGGUCCCUAUCUGCCGUGGGCGCUGGAGAACUGAGGGGGGCUGCUCCUAGUACGAGAGGACCGGAGUGGACGCAUCACUGGUGUUCGGGUUGUCAUGCCAAUGGCACUGCCCGGUAGCUAAAUGCGGAAGAGAUAAGUGCUGAAAGCAUCUAAGCACGAAACUUGCCCCGA